CCCUUAGAUGUUCUGGGCUGCACGCGCGCUACACUGAUGCGCUCAACGAGUUUUAACCUUGCCUGGAAAGGUUGGGUAAUCUUUUUAAAACGCAUCGUGAUGGGGAUAGAUUAUUGCAAUUAUUAAUCUUCAACGAGGAAUUCCUAGUAAGCGCGAGUCAUCAGCUUGCGUUGAUUACGUCCCUGCCCUUUGUACACACCGCCCGUCGCUCCUACCGAUUGAAUGGUCCGGUGAAGCGUUUGGACUAUGGUUUUCUGAUGGUCCGCCGUUGGAUUACCGUGGGAAGUUCGUUAAACCUUAUCAUUUAGAGGAAGGAGAAGUCGUAACA
rnacentral:rRNA from 1 species